GUCUGCCUAGCUCAAUCGGAUAGAGCGUCAGACUCUUAUUACAGACCUGGGGCGUGUCAUGUGAAGGUUGUGAGUUCCACCCUCACGGUGGGCU